rnacentral:rRNA from 1 species
GACGAACGCUGGCGGUGUGCUUAACACAUGCAAGUCGAACGGUAAGGCCCUUUCGGGGGUACACGAGUGGCGAACGGGUGAGUAACACGUGAGUAACCUGCCCUCAUCUCUGGGAUAACAGUCGGAAACGGUUGCUAAUACUGGAUAUGAGCUUGCAAGGCAUCUUGUGGGUUGGAAAGAUUUUUUUUGGUUGGGGAUGGACUCGCGGCCUAUCAGCUUGUUGGUGAGGUAGUGGCUCACCAAGGCUUCGACGGGUAGCCGGCCUGAGAGGGCGACCGGCCACAUUGGGACUGAGAUACGGCCCAAACUCCUACGGGAGGCAGCAGUGGGGAAUAUUGCACAAUGGACGGAAGUCUGAUGCAGCAACGCCGCGUGCGGGAUGACGGCCUUCGGGUUGUAAACCGCUUUCAAUUGUGACGAAGCGUUUUUGUGACGGUAGCAGGAGAAGAAGCACCGGCUAACUACGUG